rnacentral:lncRNA from 1 species
UUUGCAUAUCGAAUCCUUUUGAAAUUUGACAAGUAGCUUGGGCUGUUCAGAGGGAAGAAGCUAUCAAAGUCCAAAGCAAUAUUCUGGCAGCUAAAAUAGGCUGCAGUGACCUCACAAUGGCGUUUUAGCAAUGGCCCUGCAGGAGGCAUUCAGUAAUGGGCUACUUGGGCUAGACCCUCUCAGCUAAAGGCUAGGCCUAGUCUAGUAAAAAAUGCAAAAGGAAAUAGAGGCAAUUUUCCAAGUAAUUCAGGAGAAAAGCACUUUCAUCUCAACUCUCAAGGGCUUGCUACGUAGGCCAGAACUACACCAACACGCUUUGAUGCUGAAGCAGAAUUUGGUACAAGGUGGCUGUAAGUCAGAUCUCCUGCUAAUUGUGUGAAACUGUUUAUGUUGAUUCAUCUAAGCAGCUGGUCUUUUGAGAGAGAUGCAACAGACCAAAGAACAAAGACAGAAGCUUGAGAAGCCAUGUUAGGACUUGUUGCACAGCAUGGUGACUGCUAUGGAACAUUGGUAUGGAGUUUCAGGAGAAAUAAGGGUGAUAGGAUCCAGCUCCCCCCAGCAGAGUUCUUGGAUGUCAAGUCCUGAUAAAUCCCCGCCGCCUCCUGGGUCCAAGCUCGGGUACCACUAACUUGUCCCAAGAGAGUGGGGAGUGAGACCUGUAAGUCAACUAAUAUAAGGUAGAUGUUUUUGAUGAUACAUUUUAUCACAUUUUAUUUCUCUUAAAACAUUAUUUUCAACACUUAACAAUAAUCCUUAUUUCCUUUGUGAAAUCUAAGGAAGAUAUCUCAUAAGUUUCUUCCCAAAGCCAGCAAACUAUUUGAUCAACCCUGUGAAACUGUCACUUCUUGUAAAACAAAAAUGGCCCAAUAUUAGCAGUUGCAUAAGGUUUUAACUUAGUAGGUAUCAUAUCCACUAUAAUGGUCAUGGGACUACCCCCCAAAUCACUGAAGUUAUUGAUGAUUCACUUCAAAUUCAUCACCAUCUACUUUUUGCUUUCAUAAAUGAGAGGUGAAAAGCCUUCACGUUUAGCGAUCAGUUGUGUUUCUACCCAUCUUACUAGGUACAGCCAAAUCUAAACUCAUUAUCACCACUCACAACCUAGCAAGCUUACUUCUCCUGGAAUGUCUGUUUCAGCAAUUGGCACUCUUACAGAAAAACCUGGGAGCAAUCCUCAAUUUCUCUCUCUCUUUCCUUCAGCGCUCAGCACUUACAGUCACUGAGUUUCAUCAACUGCAACCUUCCUUUCUCAGCCUCAAUGAUACUGACUGCUGCUAUAAUUCAGGACUUUAUCACACCUGCAUUAGUGCGCUAGUCACACAAAUAGUCUCCACAUUUGCAUCUCUUCAUACACAAAUUCAAAUUCCACUGCUGCCAGAGUAACUUUGCAAAUAUUACAAAUCUAAAUAACCCUUUCCUCAUCAGAAAUUUCAUGUUUCCCUAUCGCCUAAGGAUAAACUCUCAAUAGCUAAUUGUACCCACCUGGGAGCACCAUGCACUUUUAUUGUUGGCUUCAUUUGCUUAUCCUGGCUACCAACCCUGGAAUAGCUUACCUCACCCUAUUCCAUCUUGCCCAGCUUGGAAAUCCCUAAUCAUCAUUUAGGACCAAACCCAGGGGCCAUGAAAACUUUUGGCGGGGAGAAGAAUGAGCUUAUUUCAUUUGUUUAUAGUUUAUUUCUAUUUCUUCGGCCUACUUAUAAUCUUCAUUUAUUUAUAGUAAGUUUUUGGACAUCUUCUUAUUUAUUUACAACAGCUUAUUAGAUAUAUUUUGUGAAUGUGUUUUUCAAUUUUAUUUACAUUCAGAUAUCUAUAGAAUAUACUUGCAUAUAUAGUAUGGCUUAGGGAUCAAACUAUUUUUUUCCCAAAUAGAGUUACUUGUCCUGAAGCCAUCUUUUCUUUAUGGUUCUGAUAAAAGUUUUAUAGAAAUCUCUAAUAUUUUUCAUUGAUUUCCUCUGUCUACAUAAAUCAAACUAUACCAAUAAUGCUUUAAAAUGUUUUUUAGUAUUUGAUAAAACAAAUUCUUACUACUUGCUCUUAACUACCUAAAUUUCCUUCAUUAUUUUCCUGCAUCUUCUCUUCUAAGUAAACUUUAGAAUCAGUUUAUCAAAUUUCAUUUGGGUUUUAAUUAGAAUUGCUCUCUAUGUAUAGAGUAAUUUGUUUUUGUUUUUUAAUUUAUUAUUAUUAUACUUUAAGUUUUAGGGUAC